AUCAGCUGUAGUUGCCCCACAUCCUCGUCAAUAUUCGGCGUUACCUGUGAUGAAGCCCUUCGUAUAUUUAUGAAGGAUACUGAUGGUGAUGUGCUGAGAGCCUGCCUACAAGCACCGAUUGUUAAAUCGUCAGGAAUUUUGUGACCCAGCUGAUGUCACAUGGGUGCAGGAACAGAAACUAGGUGUUGUUCAACACCGCAUUGCCGAGGCUUCACUGAAGAAAUACCCGUGGCAUCAAUGCGUUGCCGAAAGCAGAGAAUGGAGCUUGUGCAGGAGCCGGCACUUCUAAGACUCCGCUAAAAGUAACAACAGCUACUCUUGAAUCCGAAAGCGUGAUCCUGGGAGAUCAGAGGCACCCCUCCACGGCUGGGACUCAGGGCACCUCACUGAAUUUCGGCUGGGUGUCCCCUCCUGUGGUGGGGGGGAGGAAACGAGCCUAGUCACCCAUUGUGAUUCUACGCACAACAACGUACCUUAAAACCUGCGCGAAAGCAAGUGGGGAGGAGGAGCGGUCGCCCGGCCGCAGAGGAGCUGGGGAGGUGGGGGCUGGGGGUGGGGGAGGAGGGGACAGUCUGGAGACCCGGGA